UACAGAGGUGGCAAGCGUUGUUCGGAAUUACUGGGCGUAAAGGGCGCGUAGGCGGCCUUCUAAGUCAGACGUGAAAUCCCCCGGCUUAACCUGGGAACUGCGUCUGAUACUGGGAGGCUUGAGUAUGGGAGAGGGAUGUAGAAUUCCAGGUGUAGCGGUGAAAUGCGUAGAUAUCUGGAGGAACACCGGUGGCGAAGGCGGCUUCCUGGACCGACACUGACGCUGAGGCGCGAAAGCGAGGGGAGCAAACGGG
rnacentral:rRNA from 1 species